UGAGCAAAAGUUGCAGCACAGCGUGUCACCAGAGAGGAAAAGAAUAUCCUUGCUGUGCCAAGAAAGAAAAGACCAUGGAUCUACUAGUUGCAGAUUUCAGCAGUAAUGCCAAGGGGGCAAGAAGUGACCAGCAGAACAAUUAGGCCAUGGCAACAGAAGCCAACUACAACCCAUGUUCCAAUCUAUGACCUCCCUCUCCUGCUGGUACAAGGAUAUGGGCAAGAGCUGAUAAUCAACUGACUAAUGAGGAUUGACUUCUACAAUUGAUGAGCAUGGAAUUGGAUGUGCCUAAAUCAACAGAAGAGGGAUUUUGAUGUCAUCACACUGUAGCCCCAGAAGACAGAACGCUCAAAGGUGUCAAUGGGCAGAAUUUGUAGAUGACAUACAGCAUCCAAUGGAUUACUCCUAUUCAGUAUUCCUUAGAGCAAAGGAUGCAAUGUCAAGCAAGUUGUGAUACCUCAACUAUCUACAAUUUAACACCAAGGAAAGAACACUGUUUGGAGAAAUGAGAAAGAUUAUCAUCAGUGUCUUUCAGAAGUCAUCAAAAGAAGAAAAGGAGAAAAGAGAGGAGAAAGCAGAAAGAUCUGGAGUCUGGGAAGUUCAAGAGCAUGGCACCAACAUCUGGCAAGGGCUUUCAUUCUGCAUCAUCUCAUGGAGGAAAAUAAAAAGAUUUCAGGUAAAUCCAGAUUUGGAGCUUAAAUGACUCAAAUGCUUUGCCUACAUUGAUCCUACAUUCAGGCUGCUUACAUAUCUCUUGGCUUCUCUGAGAACCAGAUUGUCACCACUUAAAGUGUCUUCCAGAGUCCUCACGAGUAUCAGAGAAGGCAUAAUCUGUACACGUGGCUUCAUUUAAAAUGAAAAUAUCAAGCAGUGUCAUUUUCACAAGUAUCCCCACACUGUCUGAGGCUGAAAAGAAGAGUGUAGCUAUGCACACUGCAGUGAGAAGAAAAUUUCAGCUCAAUUGGAGGAUGUAAAGAUUGAAAUACCACUGCUCCUAGUUCUGAUGCAAAAUUGAAAAGAGUGCACUGGGUCUUCAAAUGGCAUAUUGACAAGGAGAAAGAGGAAAGGAUGCCCCAGGACAGCCUGGGGGUCAAGGCUGGGCUCAGGCAUGCCUGGACAAGCCAUGCAAGUUGUCUCCGGACUUGAACCACGUAUCAGAGGAGCUAUUUGAGGAGCCACAUCAGCAUACCUGCUUCUGUGGGCCCCCAGGCUGUGGUGCUCAGCCCUUGCACUAUGAAACAUUUUUUUUUUCCAGAAGCCAAAGCUUUGAGCAUCUCCUCCCAUGUAGAGAGUGUAUAUGUUUACGUCCAUGUCUUUCGCCAUGUGAACGCAUGCAACCACCACCUCAAAUAUCAUAAAUCCUCUCUCUCCCCCUUUCUGUCUGCCUGUUUAUCUACAAUCUGUCUAUUUAAAUUCUUUUUAAACAAGAAGGGAAUAUCUUUAUGCCUGUUUGUAGGGAUAUUCUACAUCCAUCUGUUAUUUACAUCAUUCGUUUUCCUGAGGUGUCUCCAACAAAUCCUGGCUGGAUGCACUGUAUGUGUUAUUAAUAAAACAGCUGUAAAAAUAUUAA
rnacentral:lncRNA from 1 species